AACGAACGCUGGCGGCGUGCUUAACACAUGCAAGUCGAACGCGAAAGACCCCCUUCGGGGGGUCAGUAAAGUGGCGCACGGGCAGGUAACACGUGGGUAACCUAACCUUGAGAUGGGGAUAACUACCGCGAAAGCGGAGCUAAUACCGGAUAAGACAACAGAGACCAACGUCUCAGGGGUCAAAGAUGGCCUCUAUUUAUAAGCUAUCACUUGAGGAUGGGCCCGCGGUCCAUUAGCUUGUUGGCGGGGUAAUGGCCCACCAAGGCAAUGAUGGAUAGCUGGUCUGAGAGGACGAUCAGCCACACUGGAACUGAGACACGGUCCAGACUCCUACGGGAGGCAGCAGUGGGGAAUAUUGCGCAAUGGGCGAAAGCCUGACGCAGCAACGCCGCGUGGGGGAUGAAGGUUCUCGGAUUGUAAACCCCUUUUCGACCGGAACGAAUCCCCUUCGGGUGAAUAAUCCGGAGGAUUGACGGUACCGGGAGAAGAAGCCACGGCUAACUCUGUG
rnacentral:rRNA from 1 species